GUAUCUAUUAUAUUACUGAUUCUGAUUUCUGUGAUUGUCGUAGUGUCGUGCACCUAACCUCGCGCUAUUGCCAAUGAGCUAAAACAAAAAAUUUAUCAUUGGAUCGGUCACUACAUGCACAUCUAACAAAAUAUUCGUUGGUAUGGGAAUAUUAAUAAACUGGGCACAGUAUUGCAUUACGUCAAUCAGGAAUAUGGAAUUAAAAUUGAUGUAGUCAAUACAGCCUAUCUCUAUUUUGGAAUGUGGAAAACAUCAUUUUUAUGGAAUACUGAAGAUAUGGAAUUAAACAGUAUAAAUUAUAUUCACAAAGGAAGCCCAAAGUCAUGGUAUGCAACACCACCAGCAUAUGGACGGCGGUUUGAAUGAGUAGCUAAUGGCUUUUUUUCUGCAUACUUUUCGAUGUGUGCAGCAUAUCUUAGACAUAAAAUGUGUAUUAUAUCUCCACAAUCAUUAGCUAGUCACAAUGUUUCAUUUGACAAGAUAACACAAGAGAAAGGAGAGUUAAUAAUAACUUUUUCAUUUGGGUAUCAUGCUGGUUUCAACCAUAGUUUUAAUAUGGCUGAAUCCACAAACUUUGCAUCGCCCCGUUGAGUAGAGUAUGGGAAAAGGGCUACACUGUGUCAUUGUUGUAAGGACACUGUGAAAAUUAACAUGGAAACAUGGAAAUUUGUAAGGAGAUUACAACCGGAAAAAUACGAAGACUGGCUCAACGGUAAAAAUAUUGGUUGCCAUUCAGAAGACUGUUCUCCAAAACUGGAUUUUUGGAGGGUCGUUCAGCGUUCGUGUCCGUUUUGCAGUCAACACUCAUUUCAAUCUCUAUAUUCAUCAGCAUUAUGUGGUCAGUUUUACAUUUUUUCGCUGAUGAUUCUGUCGAAGCAGUUCCCGAACAUUGGUUUAAGGAUCAAAAGUGUGCAUGGCCUAUUAAAUCAUCUAAUGUGAAUAUAUUAAUAGAAAAAAGAGUAAUAGCAAAUCCAUUGGAGUUUCAGUAUCUUGAAGCCAGACUUCUAUCCAAUAAUAUAGGUUAAAAAGGCUACUGUUACGUCUGAACUCCCUUCUGCUGAUGAUACAUCAACGUUUUUUUAAACUAGAACUAAAAAAAAAUAAAGUUUUCCGUCAAUUCCAGUACAUACUGAAUCUGAUGGAAAGUAUAGCUGAUGAUGAAGACAAAGACCAAACAUUUUAAUAAACAACGGAUAAAAAUGUUUUUACUUCCACUUCCUGUAUUUUAAAAAGGUCAUUUGAAUUUGAUGAAAAUAUUUCUGGUUUAGUUAUUAUUAAUAAUGAAUUAUUAUUUAUAGCAGAAGAAAUGCACGAUUUAGACAAAACUAAAAUUAAUUUAAACAGUGAAAAAAUACAGAAUUCAAUAAUGAUAACUCCUGCUACUUCUUCUGUUAAACGUUUAUUUGAUAGUUUAAGAAAUAAAGCAUCAAGUUCUAAAAAGUAUAAGAUGAAUGAUAAUAAACCAGUUGAAGAUGAUCAGUAUAAUGAGCUUCAUAAGCAUAUAAUAAAAUUAUUAACAGGAAUUAAGUAUUUUACUUCAGCUUACAGUGUUGAAUGUUUAAAAAAUAUUUCAAAAACUAUUAUUGAAAAGUUAUCUGCAAACGAAACAAUUACAACACAAAGUAAUGAUGAAAAUGCCACUUUUUAUGAUGUUUGGCCAAUUGAAUGUGAAAGUGAUUUAAAUCAUCAAGAAGAAUGCUUGAAGGAUGUAACAUAACGAAAUACAAUGAUCCAACAGUUGGCAAAAUUAUCUGAUAAGAAUAUAUAUCAGUCAGGCAAAUCAUGAAACAUGUAUUUAGUGAUACAUUUUUAAAGCAAUACCUGGGUUUUAAAGGAAAAAGUAUUUUUUCAAAAUUAAAAAUUGCCAAUUAAUAUUUGAAGAUAUUAUAAGAAGUAUCAAACUUUUUGAAAAUACUCCUGUUAAAGAUAUAGAGCAUUCGAUCAAAAGUUGGCUCAAGGAUCCAAUAGAUUGUCGAGAAAAAGUGGCAAGAUAACCAGUUGUUCUCUGUCAACAUCUAUAUCAGAUAUUUUAUUUUAUUUUAUUUUACAAAUAUUAUAAACUACAGCUAUUAUGAUUUGUUUUCAAGUAUAAUAUUAUAAUUAAACAAUGUAACAAUAAGUAUUAUGUAUACAGUAAUUUUUUAUUAUUAUAACCAAGUUAAGGUUUA